CUGCAACGCUCCCGUACGACUCAUCUGAAAAACGGGCGUUAGCCUUUGGCGUGCGUCAAGUUGACGAGCUUAUCGAUCGGCAGGGCUGUUCGCAGGGUAAUCCUCCCCGUGUGAUUUAUCGCCCAGUGCCACGCGGCGGACGGAACCUGCUGAGCGUGCAGAGCGGGAGCGGGAUCGAUAAGAACCCUAAAACAGAUUAAACAGACGGCCGGUGGAAUCCAAAGAGCAGUGAUGGAUGCGAGCCACAUACAGUAUGGGAGUUGCAAAAAGGUCUUAGGCUUAAAAGUCUUAACCUAUGACCCCAGCUCUGCCUUCAGCAGAUCAAACCAAUGUCCUAAUGGAAACCGAAAGACAAAGGUGAGAGGACAGAUUGAUAGAGAUGAAGAAAAUAGGUGGAAGAGUUGAGCGAACCAUCGUUGUGACCACAUCGCACCUCGCUUCUUCAUCAACAGCAGACACGAUAGUGUGGCUACUCACAAGAUCUCGUCGUUCUGGAACUCCAGUACGCCGUGUGCGUCCUCAAAGUCCUCGCCGCCGCCCCGCGCCGUCCCCUCUACCGUCUUGUAGGGCAGCGUGACCACGCCGCGGGCGCCCGACGUCCUCAGCACUUUCACCUCCAUGGUGCCCACGCUCUCGCUCACGUGGAACGCGGGCUCCUCGAACGUGAAGAUUCCGGCGUGGUCGUCGUCAAAGAUGGUGACGGUGGCUGUGGCCGGCAGGCCCAGGCAGGCCACCGAGUCCACGUGGUUAGCCGACUCGUCCUCCGUGGGCUCCUCGCCUUCUGUCGUCAGGACUUUUACGUUGGACAGGUGGAUAAGGAAGUUCUCGUCCUCCUCGAAGAUGUCGUCAUCGAUGAUUCCCACGCGGAUCUCUUUGACCGUCUCGCCAGGUUUGAACACCACCACGCCCUCGGUGAACUCAUAGUCCGAGCCGGCGUUGGCUGUGCCGUCCUCGGUCCGGUACUCCACGGAAAUGGUCUUGGCCAGGUUGCCGCCGCGCCGCAUGACGUUCACUGCGACCGUGCCGCAGUUCUCCAGGCACUGGUAGGUGGCGGGUUCGAAGAACACCUUGGAAAUCGGGUCAUUGUCGCCGGCAUCGGAACACAUUUCGUGCAUGCUGACGGCCUUGCGCGCCUGGUCGGCGGCGUGUUUCUUCAGGAUGUUGCCCGCGCCCGUCAUGAGCCGGGUGGCCUGGCAGCGAUAGAAAGCCCGACUCUUUUGCUGCUGGCUCAGAACCUGGUAAUUGGCCAGUUCUAUUAGCUGCUCCACCUGGAUACAACACACACAAAGGUGUAAUAUGAGAGUCAACACUGGGACGAUGUAUUUAUUCAGCAAAAUUCUGGAGGACUUUCUCAGCGACAUAUAUUUCAUGAAGGCUGAUCACAAAAGACGUACUUGUUUAAUUUCACACUUGAUUGGUGAGCAGGCACUGCAGAGACCCAGCCAUUUGUAUACAAGCUAUUAAAAAGUCAAUUGUUCACAAUA